UUCAAUUACUCUUUUCCUAAGCCCGACAUUGUGACGGAUGGUGAGUGCAAUCUAAGCUUUAGCACAUAAUUUCCAUAAAUAAAUAAGUAACUUUUAUCCUGUUGGUUACCCUUGAUACGAUAGGAUAUUAAUGUUUUCUAUUUGUUUAUCGAUUUAGUGGUUGGAUAUAAUACAUAAAUAGAAAGAGAAUACAACAACUACAAUUUUAAAGUGAUCUUAAAUCAUCAUAUAAGAUUCUUCACCAAACCUUCUGCAAUUAAGAACUCGAAAAGAUUCGAAAGGUUUCAUAGUUGUUGAUAUUGCCAUGAUUUUAUUUAGUUGAGUUAGGACACUAAUCAAAAGGCCAAUAAUGAUUAAUUAGUUUAUUGCAUGAGGAGAAUAAUUUGGGCACUAAUCAAACCACAUAAUAACGAUUUAAUUAAUUAUUACACAAUUAGGAUAAUAAGUUUGAAGUUAAGAGUGGUGUUACCAUGUUUGCAUGAUUGUGGUUGGGUUUAUAGGAAAUCAAUCAAAUGAAUAAUUAAUUAUAUGGUAAUAUGAAUGAAAUUCAAAAGUUAAAUUGCAUUUUAAAUUAUUUAGGCCCGUGUUUAAUAGCCAUUCUUUUGAUUUGGAUUUUUUAUUUUAUUUUAUUUUAUUUUUUUAUUUUUUUUUGGGGAAGAAUGAGUUUUGGAAUAGUAAUUUCUCGAAAAACAUGUGGUUAAAAAGUAGGAAUAAAUUUAAGUUUAAGUGACAAAAAUAUUUUAUUGUGAAAAUGUGUGGUUGAAAAUGAGUACGAGAUUUUUAUUUUUUAUUUUUGAAAGAAUGGUUACCAAACGGGGACUUGAUCACUUAUAUGAUUUAUCAUAGUGAUAGAUCGACACAUCAAGCAAUGAUUACAUAAUAUUCACUAUGAUAUGAUUGUUAAUUAAAUAAUUUUCAUAAAUUUGGAUAUGACAGAUGAGGGAGUGGUGAAAUUUAUCCUAUUUUUUUACUUUUAUUUUUUUGUGAUUAGUUAUUUUUCGGCAAAAUUGGUCUUCUAAGAAAGAUCAGACUUUUCACGUCAGGAUGGUAGAUAGUGGCGGACCUGAAAAUCUAGGCGAGCACGGGUGGUCGCUAGAAAAUCGCCCGAUAUAAGAAAAUGAAAAAAAAAUUCCUACAGAACCAGCACAGCGCGACCACAAAGACUCCUCGAAUUCUAAGCCCAUGAUGGUAAGUAUCAUUUACAAGAUUAUUGGGCAUGGUUCAAUGAUAAUGGUGGAAUAAAUAUCAAUCCUAGCCCUUGUUUGAGCCCCAUUUUUUUUUUAAAAUACAUUUUUUAACAGUAAUUUGACAUCAUUUCAACCACACAUUUUUCAAUAAAAUAAUAUUAUACGCAAACUCAAAACUGUUUUUUAUUUUUUAACCACACAUUCUUCAUCACAACACUAUUCCAAAAUGCAUUUUUAAAGAAAAAUGGGGCUCAAACAACCCCAUUAAUGUCUUAAUAAUUCACAAGAAGAGUGAAUAUAUUACAAGAAGACAAAUUGGGGUAUAUGAGAUAUCAAGAAAAUGCAUGAACAAAUCGAAUUGUUCAUAGAUGAUUGAUAAUGAAUAGGAUUUUGUAACUUGGCAUUUUGUGAAUUGUAGGAUACAAUUAUUUAUUUAUUAUUAUUUUUUUAAUUAUUUUUUUUUUGGGAAUGUGGGGUUAGAAAAUAGAGAAAAAUUAUGAAUCUCAUAUAAACGUGGUGAAAAAUAGUUUUAGCGAAAAAAUGAUUUUGAAAAAUUCUCUCCCAAACAAAGCUUUAGUAUAGUACUUCAGUUUAAGACAUAGUACUUAAGAAAAAAUGACAAAACAUAAAAAUAUUGACAAUUUUAUUUACAUGUAGUUUAAUUUAACAUAUCGAAGAUGGUAUUAUAGUUUGAUAAUCAAAGUAUGUUUCGAAAGUAUUGUUUUUGAAAAUUGCAUUGGGUUGAAGAUCUAUAGAUUCUUUUUAGGUGUUUGGUAGAUGAUUCAAUCAAGUUUUCUUGAUAUCGAAAAUUUGUGUAAAAUAUUUUGCAACAAUAUAUGUUUCAAUACAAAUAUAAUUGUAUAUGUGUAUAGAUAACCACGCAAUCAUUAUUUAUAUAUUAAUAACUAUUUUUGGGGGGGAAUAUUACUAUUUUUAGUGCCUGUUUGACUUGAUUGUAAACAAGUUAA
rnacentral:sRNA from 1 species